AUGGAGGCUGGACAAAUGAAAUGCUGCUGCAGACCGCAACAGCAAGCACGCAGAUGCAAACAAUAUCGUUCC
rnacentral:sRNA from 11 species